GCAAGUCGUACGCACUGGCCCAACUGAUUGAUGGUGCUUGCACCUGAUUGACGAUGGAUUACCAGUGAGUGGCGGACGGGUGAGUAACACGUAGGUAACCUGCCCCGGAGCGGGGGAUAACAUUUGGAAACAGAUGCUAAUACCGCAUAACAACAAAAGCCACAUGGCUUUUGUUUGAAAGAUGGCUUUGGCUAUCACUCUGGGAUGGACCUGCGGUGCAUUAGCUAGUUGGUAAGGUAACGGCUUACCAAGGCGAUGAUGCAUAGCCGAGUUGAGAGACUGAUCGGCCACAAUGGAACUGAGACACGGUCCAUACUCCUACGGGAGGCAGCAGUAGGGAAUCUUCCACAAUGGGCGCAAGCCUGAUGGAGCAACACCGCGUGAGUGAAGAAGGGUUUCGGCUCGUAAAGCUCUGUUGUUGGAGAAGAACGUGCGUGAGAGUAACUGUUCACGCAGUGACGGUAUCCAACCAGAAAGUCACGGCUAACUACGUGCCAGCAGCCGCGGUAAUACGUAGGUGGCAAGCGUUAUCCGGAUUUAUUGGGCGUAAAGCGAGCGCAGGCGGUUGCUUAGGUCUGAUGUGAAAGCCUUCGGCUUAACCGAAGAAGUGCAUCGGAAACCGGGCGACUUGAGUGCAGAAGAGGACAGUGGAACUCCAUGUGUAGCGGUGGAAUGCGUAGAUAUAUGGAAGAACACCAGUGGCGAAGGCGGCUGUCUGGUCUGCAACUGACGCUGAGGCUCGAAAGCAUGGGUAGCGAACAGGAUUAGAUACCCUGGUAGUCCAUGCCGUAAACGAUGAGUGCUAGGUGUUGGAGGGUUUCCGCCCUUCAGUGCCGGAGCUAACGCAUUAAGCACUCCGCCUGGGGAGUACGACCGCAAGGUUGAAACUCAAAGGAAUUGACGGGGGCCCGCACAAGCGGUGGAGCAUGUGGUUUAAUUCGAAGCUACGCGAAGAACCUUACCAGGUCUUGACAUCUUGCGCUAACCUUAGAGAUAAGGCGUUCCCUUCGGGGACGCAAUGACAGGUGGUGCAUGGUCGUCGUCAGCUCGUGUCGUGAGAUGUUGGGUUAAGUCCCGCAACGAGCGCAACCCUUGUUACUAGUUGCCAGCAUUAAGUUGGGCACUCUAGUGAGACUGCCGGUGACAAACCGGAGGAAGGUGGGGACGACGUCAGAUCAUCAUGCCCCUUAUGACCUGGGCUACACACGUGCUACAAUGGACGGUACAACGAGUCGCAAGCUCGCGAGAGUAAGCUAAUCUCUUAAAGCCGUUCUCAGUUCGGACUGUAGGCUGCAACUCGCCUACACGAAGUCGGAAUCGCUAGUAAUCGCGGAUCAGCAUGCCGCGGUGAAUACGUUCCCGGGCCUUGUACACACCGCCCGUCACACCAUGGGAGUUUGUAACGCCCAAAG
rnacentral:rRNA from 1 species